UCACCCUGAGGAAAAGCCCUCCAAAAACCUUUUAACGACUACGCAGGGUUUAGCUACAUCCGCCAGUGACCGAGCGCGCAGAGGUCCUCUGGUCUGCUUUCCAACCUGGAAGCAAGAGCGGCCCUGCAGACGCAGGAGCUGCCCCAGGAGAGCACAGAGGAACUCCGAAAUAGCAUAAAUUCCACAUCCGUCAGAAAAUUCACUCUAUCUUGUUCCCAAGCUGCUGGUAAUUCGCUGAGACUUUCUCUUGACGUAGUUGAACCCUUGGUUGAUUUCUAGAACACCCGCCCAGGCUAGUUCCAACAGUCAAGCUCUUCUCAUUCGGAAGACUCCUUCGGUUUUGGUAAAUAGAUGCUUUAUUGACUUAGGAGCCAUUUCUCGAUAUAUCCCGUCUCCAGAGGAACAAGCAGCAGAGCCCCCCUCCUCCCAGUGUGUGCCCCUGACGUUGCGCCCCCAGCCCGGCUGCAGAGCGCGGCGGGGCACGCGCCCUCGAGGCCACCGUGGUUCUGGAAGGGCCGCCGCCUCCAGAGACCGCGGGAGCCUGUGCGCCGCGCGUGCGGUGGGCGGGAAAUCGCCAACAGAGAUACGGUCGCGGCGACGGGAGCCGCUGUCUGGUUACAGAGGUCAUCACUCGGGAAGUGGGGCAGAGCGUCCAGAAACGGAGUAAGAUUUGCCAGAUGUCCUGGGAGCAGGGAAGACUUUCCGUACCUGUGACGAGAAUCAGCUGGCAUAGGAAGUAUAAAAGAAGAUUCUUAUUUUUUAAGAAAUUGGAAAAUGAUUUUCUUUUUCAAGAAACAAAGCAGACUUCCUCUUCUGACAGUGAUGAAAUCACUGGAAGCAGAUUUAACCUCCUGUCUGAAAUGACCUGUAUAUGAGGAAACUACCCAAGGCCCAGGAAAGAAGCAUUGCAAAAGGCAAAUUAAACAAUUCCUGGAGCUUACACGUGGCCAGGAAUGCUGUUUUCUCUGACCAGCCAGACUAGGAUGGACCUCGCAAUACACAGGGCAAAAGGAUGAGUACAUAGAAGGCUAUGGCCUCAGUAGUGGGACCAAAUUAGUCCUAUGCUAACGGCUGUGCUGAGAUGGCCUGACAAAGCCUACGAGCAAGCUGUAAAAGAAUCAGACUGCUCCCCAGGAACUUAACUGUGUUCCAGAAAGUAACGCAUACAUAUUUACAGGAACACCAAAACUUCCAGGAAUCAACACCAGAAAAUCACAAUGCUGGGCAAUCAUUCAAAAAUUGCCAGCUAUGCAAAGAAGUGGGGAAAAGAAACCCGUAACAAAAAAAAUAAUCAAUCAAUAGAAAUAGAUUCAGUAAUGAUAAAGAUGAUAAAAUUAGUACACAAAGACAUUUAAACAGUAGCUGUGACUAUAUUUUAGUUGUUUAAGAAGGUAUAAGAAAGCAUGAGCAUGUUAAUGCAAGACAUAAAAGAUAUUUUAAAAACCCAGUUGAACAUCUGAAGAUGAAAACUGCAGUAUCUUAAGUAAAAAAUAUAUUUGACAGGAUUAUCAGCAGAUCAGACAUUGUAGAAUAAAAGAGCAGAAAAUUAGAAAAUGCA
rnacentral:lncRNA from 1 species